rnacentral:rRNA from 1 species
UACGGAGGGUGCAAGCGUUGUUCGGAAUUACUGGGCGUAAAGCGCACGUAGGCGGAUCCGUAUGUCGGAUGUGAAAGCCCCAGGCUUAACCUGGGAAUUGCAUCCGAAACUGCGGACCUUGAAUGCUUGAGAGGAUGACGGAAUUCCUGGUGUAGAAGUGAAAUUCGUAGAUAUCAGGAGGAACACCGGAGGCGAAGGCGGUUGUCUGGCGAUGCAUUGACGCUGAGGUGCGAAAGCGCGGGGAGCAAACAGG